CAGCAGUAGCCGCGGGAAUACGUAGGGUGCAAGCGUUAAUCGGAAUUACUGGGCGUAAAGCGUGCGCAGGCGGUUCGUUAAGACAGAUGUGAAAUCCCCGGGCUUAACCUGGGAACUGCAUUUGUGACUGGCGGGCUAGAGUAUGGCAGAGGGGGGUAGAAUUCCACGUGUAGCAGUGAAAUGCGUAGAGAUCGGAAAGAACACCAACGGCGAAAGCACUCUGCUGGGCCGACACUGACACUGAGAGACGAAAGCUAGGGGAGCAAAUGGGAUUAGAUACCCCAGUAGUCCCUGUCUCUUAUAC
rnacentral:rRNA from 1 species